rnacentral:rRNA from 1 species
AUUGAACGCUGGCGGCAGGCCUAACACAUGCAAGUCGAACGAGUGGCGGACGGGUGAGUACUGUCUGGGAAACUGCCUGAUGGAGGGGGCUAACUACUGGAAACGGUAGCUAAUACCGCAUACCAUCAGAUCUGCCCAGAUUGGAUUAGCUAGUAGGUGGGGUACCGGCUCACCUAGGCGACGAUCCCUAGCUGGUCUGAGAGGAUGACCAGCCACACUGGAACGUAGACACGGUCCAGGCUCCUACGGGAGGCAGCAGUGGGGAAUAUUGCACAAUGGGCGCAAGCCUGAUGCAGCCAUGCCGCGUGGAUGAAGAAGGCCUUCGGGUUGUAAAGUACUUUCUGCGGGGAGGCGUUACCCGAAGAAGAAGCACCGGCUAACUCCGUGCCAGCAGCCGCGGUAAUAC